ensembl:miRNA bta-mir-2285k-4 bta-mir-2285k-4
AUUGGGUUGGCCAAAAAUUUGUAGGAGUUUUUCAUAUUAUGGAAAACCGGAAUGAACUUUUUGAUCAACCCAA